rnacentral:tRNA from 1 species
AUUAAAUUGGCAGAUAAGUGUGUAAAAUUUAGAAUUUUAUUAUAAAAUUUAUAUUUUAUUUAAUA